rnacentral:rRNA from 1 species
AUGAAUGAAAGGAAGAAUUUGAUCUCUGUUUUUGCUUGUAGGAACUUUUCUGAGCUUUUGUAUGUUCCGUCUACAUCACAAGCGGUCUUCCGAUUGUGUCGAGUGCAUCACAAAGGCGCAGGAGGAAAAAGGAAGAAUCAGCCAAAAUCUGACAAGAUGCAAAGGCACAUAUCAAGUGUGUACCACAGUCAAAGGGAUUCAGUCCAGUUAUUAAGAUUUCUUUGCAUCCAAAUUACUUAUCAAAUGGUUUUUAGUGAGUUGGAGGAGGCCUUGGUUCUAACAUUUGAAAAAAAAAUCUCUAGGUGUGGGCAUACGUCAAGCUGUCGCUUGAGACCGCCAUCAUGCUCUGCUGCAAAGUUUUGUAUCUCUUCAUGA